rnacentral:lncRNA from 1 species
AUUACACAAUCACAGGGACUCACAGAUUUGUGUUGGACCUUCUCCGUAUACAUUAAGAGUGACAUCUGUCCUUGUUAUGUCCCCAGACUUUGAACCAACCUAGACAAGACAAUCAGCUAAAGCAGGACCUGGAGAAGACAACAAAGGAUAGGUGGGACAUGUCCAGGAGGGAGGAAAGAAACGCUAAAGGAGACAAGUGACAAAGCUCUGAAAACGGCCAAGCAGCAAGACCAGCGCAGGAGCAACUGGAGAAGAGGGUGGGACAACUGGAGAAGGAAUACAAACACCUCGCCUCCAGCCUGGAGAUGGAGAUGGACAAAAUGAAAGCAGCGAAUGCCCAGGAGAGGGUGGCUUCUCGCCAAAAAAUGGGGUCCUCCUUGCACCUUGAGGAUAAUGAGCAGGCAUUAAUCCAUCUCCAAAAGGUUAGAAGUUUUCUGGAGGGGGAGCUGUGCAACGUGUCAGGAGGGAAGGCAAAGAACGAGUAUGAGGAGACCGUGGAGAAGAUGCAGAGGCUCCAGCAGGAAAUAAAAAAAGAAAAGGAAGAGAAAAAAUGGGACUCAGGAAAGAGAAGAAGCAACUGAAGAAGAAGAUAGAGCAACGGAGCAGCGGAUAGAGCAACUGGAGAAGAGGGCGGAGCACUUAGAUAAUAAAAAUAACCGCGCUAGUGACAGAUUGGGGUAAAAUAUAACAUCAUACAUCCAUGUGUUAGUUUUGCUUUGCUUUUAUUUUCGGGAGGGUGCUUUAAUUGGAAGUGUUGCUUCCUCCUCUCCAGACCUGGCAGAGUCAUGGACCCACCGCUUUCUGCUCGUUAUGUCAGAAAUGACAACAUGGAGUAAGUCCUGAAACGUGGCGUUGAAAUGGCAUUUCUGUGCUCCUUUAAUGGGAACUGCUGGAAUUGUGGCGUUAAACUCAUCCCUUAUUCCUUUAUAUCUUUGGUGCAUGCUUUAAUCACUGGUGAAGUUCAGCCAACAAUAUCUCCCAGGUUCCUCUCCAAGAAGAAAGUUUGAUUCAUCAGAUGAACAUUAAUCAGGUAAUAGAGAUACAGACCAGCAGUGACAUGGUGGAGAUAAAAACCAAACUCUUGAAAUGGUAUGCUAAAAUGAAUGAUCUAUAGUUUGUCACACUGCAAAGCCACCUCUCCAGAUGUGGCACAGGGAGCCCUAAU